UACGUAGGGGGCAAGCGUUAUCCGGAAUUACUGGGUGUAAAGGGAGCGUAGACGGUAAUGUAAGUCUGGAGUGAAAGGCGGGGGCCCAACCCCCGGACUGCUCUGGAAACUAUGUUACUAGAGUGCAGGAGAGGUAAGCGGAAUUCCUAGUGUAGCGGCGAAAUGCGUAGAUAUUAGGAGGAACACCAGUGGCGAAGGCGGCUUACUGGACUGUAACUGACGUUGAGGCUCGAAAGCGUGGGGAGCAAACAGG
rnacentral:rRNA from 1 species